rnacentral:rRNA from 1 species
UGAGGAAUAUUGGUCAAUGGGUGCAAGCCUGAACCAGCCAUCCCGCGUGAAGGACGACUGCCCUAUGGGUUGUAAACUUCUUUUGUAUAGGGAUAAACCUACCCUCGUGAGGGUAGCUGAAGGUACUAUACGAAUAAGCACCGGCUAACUCCGUGCCAGCAGCCGCGGUAAUACGGAGGGUGCAAGCGUUAUCCGGAUUUAUUGGGUUUAAAGGGUCCGUAGGCGGACUUAUAAGUCAGUGGUGAAAGCCUGUCGCUUAACGAUAGAACUGCCAUGGAUACUGUAAGUCUUGAGUAUAUUUGAGGUAGCUGGAAUAGGUAGUGUAGCGGUGAAAUGCAUAGAUAUUACUUAGAACACCAAUUGCGAAGGCAGGUUACCAAGAUAUAACUGACGCUGAGGGACGAAAGCGUGGGGAGCGAACA